rnacentral:lncRNA from 1 species
GAUCAACAAUAAAUUAGCAAUGCAAUAAUUCAAUGAGUAAUAUACAUUAACGACAUUGAGAGUUCCAUAAUCCUAUACAGAAUUUAAAAAUAAGAGAAAGAGUAAGAAGACAAAAAAGCUUAGGGUGUUCUAAUGAGACAGGUAAAUCUUUCUUAAAUUUUACAGGAAACUAAAGAAAAAAGAGAACAAGAAAUGAGCUGUCUUUUAACUCAAGCACUUACAUACAUAAAACUUAUUACUGGUCGCCAGCCACAUUACAGAAGGAUUAACCUGAAUAAUGAUUAUUGAUUUUGUCUGCCUUCUCAAUCGAAACUCAUUGCGUGUAUCCAUCCCACGUAAUCCUAUCUGAAUUGAAACAGCAGAGGAAUCCACAACCAUUGUCUUUCUAGGAAACCUUAAAGACGCAUUACAAACUUCUACUCUUAUAAUCACCAUACGUAAUGUAAUCCAACCUGCUGCAACCCCAUACGUGAAUUACCAAAACCUAAGUAUAUUGGAUUACCCUUUCUAUAACUCUUCAAAAACCAAAGGAAGAACAUUGUACAUACAAUUAUAAAAAUAUAUUUUGAGUUCCUUCCUCCUGGUGUUUCGAUCUGCCUGAAUAUGUACAUGAGCUAUUUGCAUAAAGAAAGAAAAAAACUACUCUUUUAUCUCCUUUGACUAUUUAGUCAUCACUGGAAAGUGCAAAAAACUAACCUUUUAAAAAAAGAGGGGGGGGGGGGGAGGAGGGGGGGUAUACAAAGUUCUCUUCUGCUUCAACACAAACUGCUUUGACCAAUGAAUUGAUCCAUCACUUUACUACACUAACUUUUAUCUACUGUACAGUGCUCCAACUACAUUUAAGUCCUCAAGUAAUUUAACGACAAUUGGCUAAAUGCUUUGAUCUCUACUUACCUAAAUAGAAGGUCAUUGAGACUAUUUCUUUGCAUACUACAAGUGCAUAGGUAUAGGCUUUCCCCUGUUGAGAAUGACAUAAGACUUUAAUUAAUAGACUUUUAUUUGGAGUAGUAGUUUUUAAGUGUUAUUGGAGCCUUCAUACCAGUCAUGUUCAAGUAUCUUAAAUUUUGUAGGGACCAAUUUCUAGUAUGGUACUGAACUUUACCCACAAUAAUAAUAAAAUUACUACCAAACUCAGUUAAUAAGCACAUCAAGAAACUGAUAAGUACCUAUAUAAGCCAUCUCUCCCCAAGCAUAACAAGAUAUUACAGAUUUUAUGUUGCAAUAACCACCCCUUAAUCGGGGACGAUCUCUACAAGAGUAAUCUUAAUUGGUUGCCAUUCGGAUUGAGGUUGUAUAAGCCAUUCUUAAUAGCCAUCUGCAAGAUCUGAAGUAUUUUGCCUAAAGCAAACUCCUUUAGGCAUAAUUUCUUAAUAAAUUAUAGCUGCUUCAAACCUAGUGAAAGAUCAAGUAAAUAAGCAAGCUCGGGAUUGGCAUAUAACAGCCAGAUACACAUGAGGAAGCAUCUUUUCUUUUCUUUCGAAAAGGUAAAUCAAACCUAGUGAAAGAUAAAGUAAAUAAGCAAGCUCAGGAUUAGGAUAUAACAGCCAGAUACACAUGAGGAGGCAUCUUUUCUUUUCUUUUGAAAAGGUCAAAUAGACCGACACAAGGAACCAUUUUUAGAGGACCUAACAAAGAUAAGAUAUGCUUAGCAUUAUCCUGAUCACAAUUGACUUUUACACAAUACAAUUGUGUGCUUUGAAUAAACACCCUGGACGUCACACGGUGUUUACAAUCCCGAAGGACCACAAGCUAACCCAUGACUGGUACCUGCUGUGAGCACUGAAUGAUAAUACUGAUAACAUACGCAGAAAUAUAACUGAAAUGUCAUAAGGUUCUCAAGAUACUGAAAUAAAUACUAAAUACUGAUAGUAAUACUGAAAAACUGAGCAUCUGUCUGAAAUAGUCUAGUCCAGAAGCCUCUAACUGUCUGAACAUGGAGUUGAUGGAACAAGUGAUACGAGUACGAUCGUGAUUGUGGAUCAAUACGUAAAGAACCCGUGCUCGAGUGACUAGCCAACUAAUGGAACAAGCUUUAGAGUGUUGGCUCAUUAAGGGCAUUUUAAUCAUUUUGUCAUAAGUUGUAACCUAGGCUAUAAAUAGAACAUAUUAGGUCAUUUUCUCAUAACUUAGAUGAUAUUUUGAGAGCUCUUUGAGAGUGUUCAUACAAGUGUGGAUAUCACUUGUGAUAAGUGUGGAAUCACUUGUGUUGGUUGCUUGUUUUGAAACGUUGGUUGCUUGGGGAUUCCGUUCCCUUGAGGUCACCAUAAGAAUUUGAUGUUAUUUGUAUGAAUUCUUGGAUCUUAGUAUUCAAUAUACACUUUGGUUCAUAGUGUUUGUGCAUUGUGUGUCAAGUUAUCUAUCAUUCUAUCUUAUUAUUGUUAUUGUGUUCAUUCUCAAUUUUGGGUGUCCAACCCGAGAUCUUGUUGUGUCAUUUUUGUUCUUGUUAUUGUGUUGUAAUCUUAGUUUGUGGCUCGCUGAUUAUAGGUGUUGAAAACCUUAGAAUCUUAUUGUUAUCGUGCUUGUAUUGUUAUUGUGUAGUGAAUUCGAGAGGGGUCAUCAAAAGGGGUCCUCGGUUCUUCAAAUCAUGGACUAUUUUGGUGUGUGUUAGUGUCUUCCUUGUCGAUCUUGUAUCAUUUGGUAUCAAAACAUGCUUGAUUUCGUUUUCACAAGAUCAAUCUAGCUUAAAAAUACAAAAAAAAAAAAAAAGUGUAGAAGUUGUUCUUGUUCUUGGCCGAGACAUGUUUCUUUGUGGCUAGAUCUUGUAGUCUUUUGUUUGUUUAGAUUGUUUCUAGUGUUGGUUUCUUUCUCACCAACACUAAAGUGUCUAGAUCUAAAGGUUUGAGCUUAUGUUGUUGAGAUCUUAUUGUUCUUCACAUCUUGACAUCUCUUAAUCAAUAUAAAGUAUAACAUAAAUCAACCACUUUUCCAUAUUUCAAGGACGUUGUUUUGUGGAAAUAGUAAAGUCAAGUCUCACUUUUUGAGUUGGAAUUUGAAAAAGUUUUUAAGACUUGAAUUUUUCCACCAAAAGGCAAACUCAUCCAUCCAAAUUGUAUCAAGACAAAAGCUUCAAAUUGGUGAUUAAAAAAAAAAUUGGGUGGGACCGCGACCAAUUACGUGGCUGCCACGUCAUCACGUUCUACUGUUCACGCAACAUAAGUAAGCUCGAAUUUUUUAAUUUCUUAGUUUCUAAUCUUUGUUUCUUAGUUGCAUUUUGUUGAUUCUAUUGCUAAUUAACAAACUAGUAAUUGUCUACUAGGUUGUAAAUUAGUUUUGGGUCCAUUUAUUCGUGUCUACGUUUCUUUGUGUGCUUUUAUCUUUUCGAAAAUUCGUUGUAGCCUUUUGACUCAAAUACGUACAAAUUUAUUUUGAGUCGUUGCAAACAAAAAUCCAUUCCGACCUUAAGCCGCAAGUGUGACCAAGUAACUUCAUUGGAGUAAAAACGGUGUACCAACACUUGUGAGACCAAUUGAGUGAUACUUCAAAAAGUGUGAGCUUGAGAGUUAGUGAGGGUGAUUUUUGCUAACCUUAACUUGUUAUUGUUUGUGUUUUGUUUAGUAUUUCUUAUUAGGUACAAUGGCUUCGGGUGAAGGUAGUCCAAGAGCCUCGAGAGAGGUAACCAUGGAUGCUUUGUUAGCGGCCAUAAUGAGCGUGAAACAUGAUCUUAGUGGUCGAAUGGAGAGAAUGGAGGAGACUAUGGACGGGAUGGAGGGUUUCUUUUCAAGGAGAAUGGAUACAUUGGAAGAUCGUUUAGAUUCCAACCAUUCAAGUCCGAAACACUACCAUGCCUCGACUAGUGGACAUGCUACCAACCCGGAUACAUUUCCCCAAUUGCUCAAUCCACCUAGACCAACCCAUGAACCCAUCCACCAAGUCCCUACUUAUCCAAAAAACCGAAGUCCAUCAAGAAGCUUCCCAAAUCCUAGACCCCCUUGAUAUGCCGAGAGCACCACUAAACCAAAACCAACCAAUACAAAUUGAUGAUGUGGAAGGUGAAGGGUCUUUAUGGAGGUGAGGGGUUAGAUGAAGCAACUCUCUUUGCAGAAUUUGUGCGCAAUAGAAGAAGAGCUUAUGGCGGGGGACAUAGAGGCCGAGGGGGAAGAGUUGGACCGGCUCCUCAUGGUAGGAGCAACUUGGGACAACGACCUCAUGUUCAAGAAGGUCUAGUGGACCAAGGAGGCAAUGUGGGUAGAGACACGGGCCUAAAUUCCAUUAAGAUCACUCUUCCUUCUUUCAAAGGGACUAGUGAUCCAUCUCUCUAUCUUGAUUGAGAGUUACAAUGUAAUCGGACUUUCCAACUCAACGAGUUAACUUCACAAAAGAAAGUCGCACAUGCCAUUGCUCAAUUUGAAGGUUAUGCAUCCACUUGGUGGGAGACAAAGCGGUUGCAACGGGCAAGGAAUGACAAUCUUGACCUUCCGAAUUGGGAUGAAUUGAAAGCUCUUAUGAGGGAGAGAUAUGUCACGGAAAGGUAAAAACAAGAGCAGCUAGCAAAGCUCUACAACUUAAGGCAAGGAGAUAGAAGUGUGGAGGAGUAUUAUGAUAAGUUUCAAAACUUGAUCCUACAUCUUGACAUAGUCGAACCUCCAAAUCAUUGCCUAGCUCGGUUCAAGGGUGGCUUGUGCUAUGAAGUUGUUUCUCAAUUAGUUGUCCACAAGUUUGACCGAAUUGAGGACCUUGUAGAAGCGGCCAUUGAAGUUGAAAGGAACAACCAUGCUAAGAACACCUUCGGGUGGGACAAGUCCUACAAGCCCUUAGAGAAGAAGCCAUUUGAUAAAACAAUCCAAAGGUAUCCACGACUUGAAGGUACUAAUUCUUCCACUCCUAAUCCUAAGGGUAUCGUUUGUUUUAAAUGUCAAGGUUGGGGUCACAAAGCUAGCGAGUGCCCAAACCGAAGGAACAUUGUACUAAUGGAUGGUGAUCCUUAUUUUGUUGGGGAUAAAGUGACCAAAACUGAUGUUAGUGAAGGAACUCCUCAAGAGGAUGAUGGAGAUGAUGGAGAUGAUGGUGAACCCGAGAGGGUGCUGGAAGAAGGGGAAGUUAAUGUGCCUUGCAGAUUGAUGAGGAGAACAACUCAUGUUGAUGCUUGGCCCGAAGAAGGUGAGGUCUUGAUUCCACCUUGACCUCUUGAUGAUCAAGAACCCAAGAGUACACUAUGGUCCUUGCUCCAAGGAAGUACUCUUUUCUUUUGGUCUUGUUUUUUGUCACGCUUAGGUGGAUAGACAAGUAUUUCUUUUAGUGCUUAGAAGGGUAUCUUAUUCCCUAAGUUCCCACGGUAUGUGUAGAAUAUACACUCGUGGUUUGAUAUUUUUUUGUUGAUUAUGCUAACUUUAACCCUCUCGUCAUGAGGAAUAUGUGUUCUUUUGUCUCCUUUAUUGUUUUGAAGGUUCGGAUUCGAGGUCGAAUCCUUUUUCAAGAAGAGGAGGAUGAUACGAGUACGAUCGUGAAUGUCGAUCAAUACGUAAAGAACUCGUGCUCGGGUGAUUGGCCAACUAAUGGAACAAGCUCUGGAGUGUUGGCUCAUUAAGGGCAUUUUAGUCAUUUUGUAAUAAGUUGUAACCUAGGCUAUAAUUAGAACAUAUUAGGUCAUUUUCUCAUAACUUAGAUGAUAUUUUGAGAGCUCUUAGAGAGUGUUCAUACAAGUGUGGAUAUCACUUGUGAGAAGUGUGGAAUCACUUGUGUUGGUUGCUUGUUUUGAAACGUUGGUUGCUUGGGGAUUCCGUUCCCUUGAGGUCACAGUAAGAACUUGAUGUUAUUUGUAUGAAUUCUUGGGUCUUAGUGUUCAAUAUACACUUUGGUCCAUAGUGUUUGUGCAUUGUAUUUGUUAUUGUGUUGAAAUCUUAGUUUGUGGUUCGCUGAUUAUAGGUGUUGAACACCUUAGAAUCUUAUUGUUAUCGUGUUUGUAUUGUUAUUGUGUAGUGAAUCAGAGAGGGGUUACCAAAAGGGGUCCUCGGUUCUUCAAAUCAUGGACUGUUUUGGUGUGUGUUAGUGUCUUCCUUGUCGAUCUUGUAUCAACAAGUCCCCAACUAACUCCGACUACUGAACUACUGGAAUGUUGAAAUAAUAACUGUCCUCAAAAUAUAAGGACUCACCAAUAUAACUGUUGUUGAUAACCUGAGCUGCAAAGUAUGGUAGGAGCCCGUGCGUCUGAACCUAUGAUAUGAGACAUCAUAGCACAAAAGAAAGAGUAUGCGUCAGUACUUUGAAUGUACUGGUAUGCUAAGUGAGGUAGGGUGAUAUACAUAGGUUCAUAUGCAUAAGAUGAUAACAGACUGAAUGAACAUCAUGAAAUAACUAAAUAAGAGUACAUGCAAAAACUGUAACUACUAAUCAUGCUGAAUAUGCAAUACUGUGCAACUAACCUCUGCCUAAAUUAGACUGAAACUGAAGUACUAAAUUAU